CGGAUACCCUCUAGUUUGUGGCUCGUGGGCAGUAAGUUGAUGGGGUCCCAGGUUGUGAGGAAUUCCCGGGACUACGUCAACUACUUGCUUAAGUGCUACUCAUCUCGUCAAAAUUUGC
rnacentral:precursor_RNA from 10 species